rnacentral:lncRNA from 1 species
UAGAAUGUAAUUAAACUUAUAUAGUAAUAGAAUGAAGUUAGAAUACUUUUGGAGUCAGGUUGGGAUACUAUUGAUAGCACGAAGCAUUUGGUGCUAUUAAAUUUUUUGCCGUUAAAUUUAUCUCUUUUAUCAUUUCAUCCGUUCGAUUAUACUAUUCAACCAACCACCCACUCAACCCUAGAGGGCCCACAUCAUUCUAACCGCACAUCUUUUAAUCAAAGGGCACAAAACUUAAUAGCACCAAGUAAUUGGUGCUAUUAAUAGUAUUCCAACCUAGUUCAUACUUUUGAUAGUAAAUUAACAAUAUUUAGUACCUAUUUUUUAAUCCUUGUAUAUCUAGGGUUUAAAGUUAGAAAGUAAACAAUAAAUAUUAUUCAGAAUUGAGCUCCUACGCUUGUAAAAGUGCUAAGUUAUUAAUCUUUAAAGGUUUUUCGCUUUCGGAUGAAGAUUUGUAGCAUGAAUGAUAGUGAUUCUCCCUAUGGUUGAAUGAGUGGUUAGUGGUAUAGCAAGAUCUAAGCCGUGGAAUUGGUCAAAGAGAUAAAUCUAAUUGUAAAAAUGGUUAAUUUGUUAACUAUAGUUAGUUAAUAAGGUGAAUUGUUCUUUUUACUCAUCUUUAAUUAGUAGUUGGGACUUUUAGAGAAAUAUAUUUGUAAUAGCAAAAAUGUCAUUUCAUUUAUAAGAUAAACAGUGUUUUAACAGUAACAAACUAGAGAGACACAUUUGAAAAUAUUAGGACUUUUAAAGAAACAAUAUAUGAAAAUUAAAUUUUAUAGAAAUAUAUUUGUAAUUCAUUAUUUUUGCAGGAACUAGUAUGAAAUUAAUCCUGAUAAAAAACUUACAAACACACGGACUACUUGAUAUUUUUGAAAACACCAUAGUCUAACUCUAUUAUUUAUCAUCAAUACUUAUUUUGAAUAAAAUUUAUAUUAACAUAUCAGCAGCAGUUGAUAAAAGUAGCAUUUGGGGUAAUCCCUGGCAUGCAAACUCUUUAAAAGGAGAGAGAGAGANAUAUAUAUAUAUAUAUAUAUAUAUAUAUAUAUAUAAUAAAGAAAAUAAAAAUAUAGAAAAUAAAAAUAAAUUUGAAAUACAAUGUAAAGAUUUAUAGAAAAUGAUAAUGCAGGGCAGCUUUGACAAAAAGUAAUACAAUAUCCAAUAAAAAAAUAGCAAAGGACUAUAUAAUAGAAUGUAAUUAAACUUAUAUAGUAAUAGAAUGAAGUUAGAAUACUUUUGGAGUCUGGCUGGGAUACUAUCGAUAGCACGAAGUAUUUGGUGCUAUUAAGUUUUUUGCCGUUAAAUUUACAUCUUUUAUCAUUUUUAUCCGUUUGAUUAUACUAUUCAACCAACCACCCACCCAACCCUAGGGGGCCCACAUCAUUCUAACCCCACAUCUUUUAAUCCAAAGGCGGAAAACUUAAUAGCACCAAGUCAUUGGUGCUAUUAAUAGUAUUCCAACCUAGUUCAUACUUUUGAUAGUAAAUUAACAAUAUUUAUUACCUAUUUUUUAAUCCUUGUAUAUCUAGGGUUUAAAGUUAGAAAGUAAACAAUAAAUAUUAUUCAGAAUUGAGCUCCUACGCUUGUAAAAGUGCUAAGUUAUUAAUCUUUAAAGG